rnacentral:rRNA from 1 species
GACGAACGCUGGCGGCGUGCCUAAUACAUGCAAGUUGAGCGAUGAAGAUUGGUGCUUGCACCAAUUUGAAGAGCAGCGAACGGGUGAGUAACGCGUGGGGAAUCUGCCUUUGAGCGGGGGACAACAUUUGGAAACGAAUGCUAAUACCGCAUAACAACUUUAAACAUAAGUUUUAAGUUUGAAAGAUGCAAUUGCAUCACUCAAAGAUGAUCCCGCGUUGUAUUAGCUAGUUGGUGAGGUAAAGGCUCACCAAGGCGAUGAUACAUAGCCGACCUGGGAGGGUGGUCGGCCAGAUUGGGACUGAGACACGGCCCAAACUCCUACGGGAGGCAGCAGUAGGGAAUCUUCGGCAAUGGACGAAAGUCUGGCCGGGCAACGCCGCGGGAGUGAAGAAGGUUUUCGGAUCGUAAAACUCUGUUGGUAGAGAAGAACGUUGGUGAGAGUGGAAAGCUCAUCAAGUGACGGUAACUACCCAGAAAGGGACGGCUAACUACGUG